UUUAGAAUUUGUCCAGGAUGUGAAAUGGGUUUUUUUAAAUUUAAAGCAGGUAUAACUUUUUUUUUCAGAUAUGUAUAACUAAGUGCAAGCAUUUCCAGGACAAUAUGUGUUUAUGAAGUUACCUGUAACAGAAUACCUGUAUAAAGCAAGGAACAGAGGUCAAGAACAGCUGAUAGCAGCAUCAGCAUGAAGAUUGGGAAGCACUGAGCUGAAACAGGAAAGAAGUUCAUAAAAGAGUAUUUUGAGAAGGGUCACUACCAUUAGGGGAGCUCGUCGACAAUUCAGGGGCA